rnacentral:rRNA from 1 species
AUUUGAAAUCUGGCGUCUUCGACGUCCGAGUUGUAAUUUGAAGAAGGCGACUUUGUAGCUGGUCCUUGUCUAUGUUCCUUGGAACAGGACGUCAUAGAGGGUGAGAAUCCCGUGUGGCGAGGAUCCCAGUUAUUUGUAAAGUGCUUUCGACGAGUCGAGUUGUUUGGGAAUGCAGCUCUAAGUGGGUGGUAAAUUCCAUCUAAAGCUAAAUAUUGGCGAGAGACCGAUAGCGAACAAGUACAGUGAUGGAAAGAUGAAAAGAACUUUGAAAAGAGAGUGAAAAAGUACGUGAAAUUGUUGAAAGGGAAGGGCAUUUGAUCAGACAUGGCGUUUGCUUCGGCUUUCGCUGGGCCAGCAUCAGUUUUAGCGGUUGGAUAAAUCCUCGGGAAUGUGGCUCUGCUUCGGUAGAGUGUUAUAGCCCGUGGGAAUACAGCCAGCUGGGACUGAGGAUUGCGACUUUUGUCAAGGAUGCUGGCGUAAUGGUUAAAUGCCGCCCGUCUUGA